GACGAACGCUGGCGGCGUGCCUAAUACAUGCCAGUAGAACGCUGAAGCUUGGUGCUUGCCCCGAGCGGAUGAGUUGCGAACGGGUGAGUAACGCGUAGGUAACCUGCCUGGUAGCGGGGGAUAACUAUUGGAAACGAUAGCUAAUACCGCAUAACAGUAGAUAUCGCAUGAUAGCUACUUGAAAGGUGCAAAUGCACCACUACCAGAUGGACCUGCGUUGUAUUAGCUAGUUGGUGAGGUAACGGCUCACCAAGGCAACGAUACAUAGCCGACCUGAGAGGGUGAUCGGCCACACUGGGACUGAGACACGGCCCAGACUCCUACGGGAGGCAGCAGUAGGGAAUCUUCGGCAAUGGACGGAAGUCUGACCGAGCAACGCCGCGUGAGUGAAGAAGGUUUUCGGAUCGUAAAGCUCUGUUGUAAGAGAAGAACGAGUGUGAGAGUGGAAAGUUCACACUGUGACGGUAUCUUACCAGAAAGGGACGGCUAACUACGUG
rnacentral:rRNA from 1 species